GAACCCCAUCUCUACACCUAUAGGAAUCCCUCCUCCCUCAGACCCAGGAGCCCAGACCCCAGCCUUCCUUCCUCAGAUUGGGGGCGAAGUCCCAGCCCUCUUGCUUCACUCAGAUCUCAGAAGCCGCUACCUGCUCCAAGGCUUCCUUACCCCUCGAUCGUGCAGCUUCAUGCGGAGGUCCCAGUCAGCAACACCACGCCGGGCGUCAUAGCGGGAACCCAGGUCCAGCGCUGGCGACAUUCCCCACCAGGACACAGAGCCGUAGCCGGCCCCGGAGCCCGCCGGUGUGGUCAUCGCCCUGCGGGACAAGGAUCCUGGGAACUCCACGUUGUCCCCACCGUCCCUCUCUCACUGCCCCUCGCUUCUUGCCCCUCCGCCUCACCUUUAACCUUCCAAAUACCCGGAGGUGGCUCUUCUCCCGCAGAGUGAUGGGGCUGAGCUCCACAAAGCCUGCCCAAACUGUCUCCCAGAGGCUCCGCCCUCUAUGAGCAGUCAGCCAAUGGGAGCAGGUAGCCUUGCGUCGUUGUUAUCAACUGACCAAUGAACGUGAAAAGGUACCGCUCACUGCUAACUUUUGACCAACAGAAGCACCGAGGGACGGCUGGGGCGUGGUCCGGAAAAGGACGCCGGACGCGGUUGUCAUGACGACAGCCCGGCCAGAGGAGGGCGGACUUUGGAUCCGUCCAAAUUUCUAAGAAGGAAAGGACUUAGCUUGCUGCUUCACAUUAAAUCAGAACGGAA